rnacentral:rRNA from 1 species
GUCGAGCGAACAGAUAAGGAGCUUGCUCCUUUGACGUUAGCGGCGGACGGGUGAGUAACACGUGGGUAACCUACCUAUAAGACUGGGAUAACUUCGGGAAACCGGAGCUAAUACCGGAUAACAUUUGGAACCGCAUGGUUCUAAAGUGAAAGAUGGUUUUGCUAUCACUUAUAGAUGGACCCGCGCCGUAUUAGCUAGUUGGUAAGGUAACGGCUUACCAAGGCGACGAUACGUAGCCGACCUGAGAGGGUGAUCGGCCACACUGGAACUGAGACACGGUCCAGACUCCUACGGGAGGCAGCAGUAGGGAAUCUUCCGCAAUGGGCGAAAGCCUGACGGAGCAACGCCGCGUGAGUGAUGAAGGGUUUCGGCUCGUAAAACUCUGUUAUUAGGGAAGAACAAACGUGUAAGUAACUGUGCACGUCUUGACGGUACCUAAUCAGAAAGCCACGGCUAACUACGUGCCAGCAGCCGCGGUAAUACGUAGGUGGCAAGCGUUAUCCGGAAUUAUUGGGCGUAAAGCGCGCGUAGGCGGUUUCUUAAGUCUGAUGUGAAAGCCCACGGCUCAACCGUGGAGGGUCAUUGGAAACUGGGAAACUUGAGUGCAGAAGAGGAAAGUGGAAUUCCAUGUGUAGCGGUGAAAUGCGCAGAGAUAUGGAGGAACACCAGUGGCGAAGGCGACUUUCUGGUCUGUAACUGACGCUGAUGUGCGAAAGCGUGGGGAUCAAACAGGAUUAGAUACCCUGGUAGUCCACGCCGUAAACGAUGAGUGCUAAGUGUUAGGGGGUUUCCGCCCCUUAGUGCUGCAGCUAACGCAUUAAGCACUCCGCCUGGGGAGUACGACCGCAAGGUUGAAACUCAAAGGAAUUGACGGGGACCCGCACAAGCGGUGGAGCAUGUGGUUUAAUUCGAAGCAACGCGAAGAACCUUACCAAAUCUUGACAUCCUUUGAAAACUCUAGAGAUAGAGCCUUCCCCUUCGGGGGACAAAGUGACAGGUGGUGCAUGGUUGUCGUCAGCUCGUGUCGUGAGAUGUUGGGUUAAGUCCCGCAACGAGCGCAACCCUUAAGCUUAGUUGCCAUCAUUAAGUUGGGCACUCUAGGUUGACUGCCGGUGACAAACCGGAGGAAGGUGGGGAUGACGUCAAAUCAUCAUGCCCCUUAUGAUUUGGGCUACACACGUGCUACAAUGGACAAUACAAAGGGCAGCUAAACCGCGAGGUCAUGCAAAUCCCAUAAAGUUGUUCUCAGUUCGGAUUGUAGUCUGCAACUCGACUACAUGAAGCUGGAAUCGCUAGUAAUCGUAGAUCAGCAUGCUACGGUGAAUACGUUCCCGGGUCUUGUACACACCGCCCGUCACACCACGAGAGUUUGUAACACCCGAAGCCGGUGGAGUA